CGGGCAGCCACUGGGAGGAGUCGCUGCACCGCGCAGGUUUUUAAAUGCGCAGGGCGCGGGGCGCGGAGCUAUCGGAGGGACUGCGGUUCCAGCGCCGGAGCGGAGCAGACUGACAGGACACGUGUGACCUCAACUGGGUUCUGCAAGACCAGCUGUUUGCAAUGAAUGGCCAGGUCACUCCUCCUCUUGAUACCCUGUUCACCAACGGUGCUGAGCAGGCCUUCAUCCCC
rnacentral:lncRNA from 1 species